CGAAAGCCUGACGGAGCAAGACCGCGUGAGGGAGGAAGGCUCUUGGGUUGUAAACCUCUUUUCUCAGGGAAGAAGCUCUGACGGUACCUGAGGAAUCAGCCUCGGCUAACUCCGUGCCAGCAGCCGCGGUAAUACGGAGGAGGCAAGCGUUAUCCGGAAUUAUUGGGCGUAAAGCGUCCGCAGGUGGCGAUUCAAGUCUGCUGUCAAAGCACGGGGCUUAACUCCGUUAAGGCAGUGGAAACUGAAUGGCUAGAGUGCCGUAGGGGUAGAGGGAAUUCCUGGUGUAGCGGUGAAAUGCGUAGAUAUCAGGAAGAACACCGGUGGCGAAAGCGCUCUACUGGGCCGUGACUGACACUGAGGGACGAAAGCUAGGGGAGCG
rnacentral:rRNA from 1 species